CAGCCUGGAUCCUGAGCGUAAGAAAGAGUCCAUGGAGAAAUAUUCUGGUCCCACUCAGUCACGGAAACAAGAUGAAUGAGGGUAUAUAUCUUGACUGAUCUAGUAAAAAACUAAUGCUUUCCCAUCCAUAAAAGGGUGGUAAAGAGCUCUCUUUGUAGCUGUGAAGGUGCCCGUGUAUCAUGGUUUAUUGGAUGCUGGUGUACAGUUAAGGAAACUACCAAUUAGAUUCUUUCCCGUCAGGAUAAGACAAGACGGUAAUUUUGUAGAAACUGUAAAUAUCCAAUGGUUCUUAUAGCUUUUUAUCCACCCCAAGAAGCCCUUGUAAUUAUAGUGAUCAAAUAGGCAUAUUCAGUUACACGUUGUUAUUCUUUUAAAGCCUCAAUUAUGCUGAAAGCUGCUUUUAUUGUACAUAGUUCAGCAAAUCUUGUUUUCCUAUCUAGAGAGGUUUGAUCAUUAUUUACAUCUAUUAUUACAAAUACCUUGUGAAAAUACCAUUGAUAGCGCAGUGUUGCUCAAACUCCCCCUCUCCCCCCUUUCUCUCGUUUGUUUUAAUUUUAUUUAGAAGUGUUUCUGGAUAAUGUAAUUGGUAAAUCGAAGGUUUUCUUUAUUCUUUA